CAAACGGUCUGUGGCGUGUGAGUGUGAGAGAGAAAGUGAGUUGUAUCUCAUAGUUGAAACCAAGACUGUUCUCAGGGCAGGUCUGCCGGUUUUGACUAGCAGAAGUUACUUAGCAGGUUACGAUAAUUAACGCAGCAGGUUAGGAUAAUUAGGUAAAAUGCUAACAAUGUCCCCGAUGCGACUCGAAUCUAUGUACAACCAUGCCUGCCCUGAGAACAGACUUCAUUUCCACUAUGCGAUGCUCCGGGCCAAACGGUCUGUGAGGGAAGACUCAAGAGGAAAUUAGCUUUCUGUUCUACUCGAGCUAUUUUAUUUUGUAUUUUCGUGGAAAAGUCGCCUAAAUAUUUUUGAGCAGCUGCUAGUUUAGGCAUGGAGGGUCUUCAAGAUGCAAUUAAACACCAAUUGCCCGAGUUGGAGACCGAGAUGGGGAGAUCUUUGUUGGAGCAUCUGAGGGCAAAUUUUGGAGUGGAGAAUAUUAACAACCUUGAAUAUGUUCAGCCAGAGGACAUAAAAUACAGUUUGAUGCCAAUAUAGUGCCUGGAAUUGCUUCGGUCCUUCAACCAAAGAGAAAAUGAAGACUGGAUAGGAUCUUUAACAAUGGAUAGUACACUUGUCCUCCUCCAAGCAUCAGUGACCUCCAAGAACAGUGGCCUUUGCUUUUCACCAAUUUAUGACUAUGCGACCACUUCAAUACCCUCACUGGCAUCGGGAUUGACAGUCGCCUGACUCAAGCUCUCCUGAACAAGGGUAAGAGAAUUGUCAACUUUUUAAAAUGCCAAAAGACCAAGUUGAGAAGAGGGAUCUAGUGCCUGCUGAAUGAAAUCGACGUUUACAUCAAAGGCAAUGACAAUCUAACAGCCACUGCUGUUAGUCUCUCUUCCUCUUGGCAGAUGUCACUGCAACUCGGGUUGAUGUCGAGGCGCAAAUUCCUUUGCCAGACACACCAAGGCUGAUCAUGCUUGGAAAUACUCUAUUGGGUUCCUCAAAAUGGAUGGUGUCGAUCGAGGGGAGAGUGGUCUGUUAUGGACAGUGAGUCCAACUUUGUUGCUGCCCUCUGUGCUCUUCAGCACUUUCUAUGAAUUUAACAUAGAAUACCAGGAGUCAGCCUCUGCAACCUUGGAGCUGAUACAGAAGAACCAAAUGCACAGCGAAAGCAGGAGUGAGCCGCAAAACCGGAAAGGUUGUUCAGAGGAAGCCAUUGCCAAUUGACCCACAUGUUCCACAUGUUAAGUGCUUUCUCGCAGACCUGAAGGAGUUUGAGUGGAGAAACUCCAACAUUAAAUGUCAGAAAUCUGCCAUGCGGUUUGGGUCAGCAAAUGAUCUGCUUGCGCCAUCCUGGAGCCUGUGUUGGCUUGCAGUAGCGUGCUUCUCUGGCUCCAGUCAAGCCCUGCUCGCUCCUCUCUAUCAUCCUUCUCUCAGCCCCUUUCUCUCUCUCUCUCACAGGCAAGCAGUUCUUGUUUUAGUUUUUUGUGAAAAUGUCUCCCUUUUAAACUGUUUUCCUAUUUUUCAUUGAUCUGUUUAGAUUAUUAUUCUCUUUAAAAAAAAUAUAUUUUCACAUAAUCCUGUAUUUUCAAGAAUGACCUAUUCUGAUGUCUUGGUUUGUGUAUGGUGAAGUACAUUAUUGGCCAGUAUUUGUCAAUGUUCUCAUCACUAUCUCUGUCUCUUUCUCUCCCCUACUAUCUGGAGUUGUAAUGUUGCUCUUUUCAAAUGUUGUUCUUUGUGGUUAAAGUGCAAUUCAUGUUAUGAAUUUGAAUAAAUAUAUAUAUUUCUA